rnacentral:rRNA from 1 species
UACGUAGGGCGCAAGCGUUGUCCGGAAUUAUUGGGCGUAAAGAGCUCGUAGGCGGCCUGUUGCGUCCGCUGUGAAAUCCCGGGGCUUAACCCCGGGCCUGCAGUGGAUACGGGCAGGCUGGAGGCAGGCAGGGGAGAACGGAAUUCCCGGUGUAGCGGUGAAAUGCGCAGAUAUCAGGAGGAACACCGGUGGCGAAGGCGGAUCUCUGGGCCAUUACUGACGCUGAGGAGCGAAAGCGUGGGGAGCGAACAGG